AGUGAACGCUGGCGGUAGGCCUAACACAUGCAAGUCGAACGGCAGCACAGUAAGAGCUUGCUCUUACGGGUGGCGAGUGGCGGACGGGUGAGGAAUACAUCGGAAUCUACUUUUUCGUGGGGGAUAACGUAGGGAAACUUACGCUAAUACCGCAUACGACCUACGGGUGAAAGCAGGGGAUCUUCGGACCUUGCGCGAUUGAAUGAGCCGAUGCCGGAUUAGCUAGUUGGCGGGGUAAAGGCCCACCAAGGCGACGAUCCGUAGCUGGUCUGAGAGGAUGAUCAGCCACACUGGAACUGAGACACGGUCCAGACUCCUACGGGAGGCAGCAGUGGGGAAUAUUGGACAAUGGGCGCAAGCCUGAUCCAGCCAUACCGCGUGAGUGAAGAAGGCCUUCGGGUUGUAAAGCCCUUUUGUUGGGAAAGAAAAGCAGCAGGUUAAUACCCCGCUGUUCUGACGGUACCCAAAGAAUAAGCACCGGCUAACUUCGUG
rnacentral:rRNA from 1 species